rnacentral:rRNA from 1 species
UACGUAGGGGGCAAGCGUUGUCCGGAAUCAUUGGGCGUAAAGAGCGUGUAGGCGGCCUGGUAAGUCCGCUGUGAAAGUCCAGGGCUCAACCCUGGAAUGCCGGUGGAAACUGUCAGGCUCGAGUCCGGAAGAGGCGAGUGGAAUUCCUGGUGUAGCGGUGAAAUGCGCAGAUAUCAGGAGGAACACCGAUGGCGAGGGCAGGUCUCGUGGGCAUUAACUGACGCUGAGGAGCGAAAGCAUGGGGAGCGAACAGG